ACUUGGAUAACUGUAGUAAUUCUAGAGCUAAUACAUGAAUAUGUGCUUUGGUUCACGCCAAAUGCGAAUUUAUUAGAUCAAAACCAACCGGUUUCGGCCGUUAAAUUGGUGACUCUGGAUAACUAUUCUGAUCGCAUGACCUUGUGUCGGCGACGUAUCUUUCAAGUGUCUGCCCUAUCAACUUAAGUUGGUGAGUUAGUUGCUCGCCAUGGUUAUAACGGGUAACGGAGAAUCAGUGUUCGAUACCGGAGAGGGAGCCUUAGAAACGGCUACCACAUCUAAGGAAGGCAGCAGGCGCGCAAAUUACCCACUCUCAGAACGAGGAGGUAGUGAAUUUAAAUAGCGAUGAUGAACUCUUAUGAGGCUCGUCAAUCGAAAUGAGUACAAUUUAAAUCCUUUAACGAGUACCAAUUGGAGGGCAAGUCUGGUGCCAGCAGCCGCGGUAAUUCCAGCUCCAAUAGCGAAUAUUAAAUUUGUUGCAGUUUAAAAGCUCGUAGUUGGAUCCAAGGUUAGGCAUGCCUGUCUGUUCUUAGUAGCAUGACUGUGUGUGUCUGCCUUUAUUAGUUGAAUGUUCAUUAUGGUGGUCUUCAUCGACUGCUAUGAUGUGCUCAACACGUUUACCUUGAAAAAAUCAGAGCGAUCAAGGCAGGCCUUCGUGCUUGUAUGUUGUUGCAAGGAAUAAUAGAAUAGGACUUCGGUUCUAUUUUGUUGGUUUUGAGAAUUGAAGUAAUGAACAAUAGAGGCAGUCGGGGGCAUUUGUAUGGUGGCGUUGGAGGUGAAAUUCUGAGAUCGUCGCCAGACAAACUACUGCGAAAGCAUUUGCCAAGGAUGUCUUCAUUAAUCAAGAACGAAAGUCAGAGGUUCGAAGACGAUCAGAUACCGUCCUAGUUCUGACCAUAAACGAUGCCGACCUACAAUCGGGGGUGGUUUAUUAUAUUGACCCUCCCGGCUGUCCUCAGGAAACUUUAAGUUGGUUCUGGGGGGAAUAUGGUCUCAAGACUGAAACUUAAAGGAAUUGACGGAAGGGCACCACCAGGAGUGGAGCCUGCGGCUUAAUUUGACCCAACACGGGGAAUCUCACCCGGUCCGGACACUGGUAGGAUGGACAGAUUGAUAGCUCUUUCUUGAUUCAGUGGGUGGUGGUGCAUGGCCGUUCUUAGUUGGUGGAGUGAUUUGUCUGGUUAAUUCCGAUAACGAACGAGACUCUGUCCUGCUAAAUAGUCCAGUGGCAUC
rnacentral:rRNA from 1 species